rnacentral:rRNA from 1 species
AUUGAACGCUGGCGGCAGGCCUAACACAUGCAAGUCGAACGGUAACAGGAAGCAGCUUGCUGCUUUGCUGACGAGUGGCCGACGGGUGAGUAAUGUCUGGGAAACUGCCCGAUGGAGGGGGAUAACUACUGGAAACGGUAGCUAAUACCGCAUAACGUCGCAAGACCAAAGAGGGGGACCUUAGGGCCUCUUGCCAUCGGAUGUGCCCAGAUGGGAUUAGCUAGUAGGUGGGGUAACGGCUCACCUAGGCGACGAUCCCUAGCUGGUCUGAGAGGAUGACCAGCCACACUGGAACUGAGACACGGUCCAGACUCCUACGGGAGGCAGCAGUGGGGAAUAUUGCACAAUGGGCGCAAGCCUGAUGCAGCCAUGCCGCGUGUAUGAAGAAGGCCUUCGGGUUGUAAAGUACUUUCAGCGGGGAGGAAGGGAGUAAAGUUAAUACCUUUGCUCAUUGACGUUACCCGCAGAAGAAGCACCGGCUAACUCCGUG